rnacentral:rRNA from 1 species
AACGAACGCUGGCGGCAUGCCUAACACAUGCAAGUCGAACGAGACCUCCGGGUCUAGUGGCGCACGGGGGCGUCACGCGUGGGAACCUGCCCUUAGGCUCGGAAUAAUUCCUCGUAAGGGGUGCUAAUACAGGAAAACUUACUCGGACCAAAGAUUUAUCGUCUUUGGAUGGGCCCGCGAUGGUUUAGCCUGUUGGUAGGGUAAAAGCCUAUGAAGGCGUCGAUCCAUAGCUGGGUUGAGAGGAAGAGCAGCCACACUUGGACUAAGACACGGCCGGGACUCCUAGGGGAGGCGGCAGUGGGGGAUAUUGGACAAUGGGGGAAGGCCUGAUCCAGCAAUGCCGCGUGAGUGAUGAAGGCCUUAGAGAUAUGAAGCACUUUUACCCGGGGUGAUAAUGACGGUACCGGGAGAAUAAGCACCGGCUAACUCCGUG